rnacentral:rRNA from 1 species
GUCCUAGCCGUAAACGAUGGACACUAGGUGUUGGUGGUAUCAACCCCGCCAGUGCCGAAGCUAACGCAUUAAGUGUCCCGCCUGGGGAGUACGGCCGCAAGGCUAAAACUCAAAGGAAUUGACGGGGGCCCGCACAAGCAGCGGAGCGUGGGGUUUAAUUCGACGCGACGCGAAGAACCUUACCAGGACUUGACAUGACCAGGACAACGGCGGAAACGCCGUCUCCCCGCAAGGGGCCUGGCCACAGGUGUUGCAUGGCUGUCGU